rnacentral:rRNA from 1 species
CAGCAGCCACGGGAAUGCGUAGGUGGCAAGCGUUGUCCGGAAUUAUUGGGCGUAAAGGGCUCGCAGGCGGUUUCUUAAGUCUGAUGUGAAAGCCCCCGGCUCAACCGGGGAGGGUCAUUGGAAACUGGGAAACUUGAGUGCAGAAGAGGAGAGUGGAAUUCCACGUGUAGCGGUGAAAUGCGUAGAGAUGUGGAGGAACACCAGUGGCGAAGGCGACUCUCUGGUCUGUAGCUGACGCUGAGGAGCGAAAGCGUGGGGAGCGAACAGGAUUAGAUACCCCGGUAGUCCCUGUCUCUUAUAC